GCUACAGAGGACACUAAAUUGUCAACUACACAAACAGCCACCGGGAAAGCAGGUCCUCCAGCUCUGGGCCCCUCUGGAGAUGGCUUCAGCCUUGGCCCCUGGGGUCUUGGCUGCAAACUGAGGAGACCUCUUGAGCCAGAAUCACUUGGCUAGGAUGUUUCCAGAUUCCCAACCCACUGAGAUGUCACCUCAAAGAAGCAGUUAUUCACCACAGCAGUUUAAACUUAAGGACAGCCGGAGGCCUGCAAAGACAUCCACGGAUGGAUGGAUCGCUCAGAGUGAUGGCUCAGAGCUCCUCUAUGGACAACAAAACAAAGCCAAACAGUCCCACAAAACCAGUAGUCACCAAAAGGAACCGUGAAUAAAACUUAGAACGGGUUAUGUGCUGAACUGAACUGUAGAUACAGCAAGGCUUCUAUACCUUUGAUAAGAAAAGGCCUGUGCCCCCAAUCAACACCUUCAGUCUCACCAUUCACUGACAUUGAACCGUAUGAGUUAUGCUGAAUUCGUAAGUGAAGGAUAAUGACGAGACAGAGGGUGCUGAAACCGUUUGUGGGGUGCGUGAAGGACAGGUGACCGUUGUUCAUCAACAUACUAGUCUUCACUCCUUUAUUUAUUCGUCUGUAUUUACUUAACCUCUAUGUAAUAUAUGCACAUAUUAGGACCUGUGUUUUCUGGAACAAGAUCUUGAACAUGAGAGAUCUGCUUUGUAGUGGCUAAUACAUCACUCAUUUUAUCUGCAGAAAAAUAAAGUCACAAAUAAAUGGAAAGGCAUUCCAUGCUCAUAGGUUGGAAGACAAUAUUGUUAACAUGCCAGGAAUACUAAAGCGUCUAUACAUUCAAUGUAAUCACUAUUAAAA